rnacentral:rRNA from 1 species
UGGGGAAUAUUGGACAAUGGGCGAAAGCCUGAUCCAGCCAUGCCGCGUGUGUGAAGAAGGUCUUCGGAUUGUAAAGCACUUUAAGUUGGGAGGAAGGGCAUUAACCUAAUACGUUAGUGUUUUGACGUUACCGACAGAAUAAGCACCGGCUAACUCUGUGCCAGCAGCCGCGGUAAUACAGAGGGGGCAAGCGUUAAUCGGAUUUACUGGGCGUAAAGCGCGCGUAGGUGGUUUGUUAAGUUGGAUGUGAAAUCCCCGGGCUCAACCUGGGAACUGCAUUCAAAACUGACUGACUAGAGUAUGGUAGAGGGUGGUGGAAUUUCCUGUGUAGCGGUGAAAUGCGUAGAUAUAGGAAGGAACACCAGUGGCGAAGGCGACCACCUGGACUAAUACUGACACUGAGGUGCGAAAGCGUGGGGAGCAAACA